rnacentral:lncRNA from 1 species
GGUUGGCGCGCGCCGGGGAAACGACCGUUAGCGUCGCCAUGGCGGCGGGGCGGCGGUUGACGGGCGGCGGUUGGAGGGCCCGGCGUGAGGCACCGCGGGGACGGCGCUGCCGAGGGGUGCGAGCCCGGCACGGCCCGGUUUGUCUGCCCCCACGAUGCAGAUCAGAUGUCGGUCGGGCUGGAUGUGUUCUUCUAAAUGGUGUAAUCCUACAACUCGGCGUGAGAAAAACCCGGAUUUGCCACGCUGCUGUGGUUUAACCCUGGUGUCAGUAAUUUCUAAAGCGAAGGAAACUGAAGUUUAUUGCUUUGGGAGAACACCUUGCAUUUGCAAGUUCGUGGACCACAAGUGGAGAUACUUUUUCAUUUGUUCUAAGGGAAGUUUCCUCCGGCCGUAUAACCUGCCUCAUGGUAACAUGGUCAAUGAAACAGCAACACACAGUGGUACGGGAGCCAUCCAGUGGACUACUGUGAAACACACAGCCAAGACAAAUUAGAAACCAUCUUGGAGGUUUUUCUGCCUUUUUGAUUUCAAGAUGUUGGGUUUUGUCCCUUUUGUUCAAAACCUGCUUGUACUAUUAAAUGCCAAAUUCCUUUACUUCUUGCAUUCAUUUUGAAGAACUAAUUUUCCCAAAGAUGUGAAAUGUCUUUAGUUUAAGAUAGUCGUAAUAGCUUAAGUUAUGGAGCUGCAUUUUUUACAAUACUCGUACAACUAGAUUGUGAACACUGGGCUCCAUUUUUUUCAGUUUACACAAAGGAAAUGGAAAUGUACAGUAUGAAAAUGAAUGAUCGUGAAAGAUGCUCAUUUAUCGCCUUGAUUUCUGUUUUGAAAUAAAGUUUAGUCGUAAUGUAUUUUGUUUUAAAUG